rnacentral:rRNA from 1 species
UGAACGCUGGCGGCGUGCCUAAUACAUGCAAGUCGAGCGAAUGGAUUGAGAGCUUGCUCUCAAGAAGUUAGCGGCGGACGGGUGAGUAACACGUGGGUAACCUGCCCAUAAGACUGGGAUAACUCCGGGAAACCGGGGCUAAUACCGGAUAAUAUUUUGAACUGCAUGGUUCGAAAUUGAAAGGCGGCUUCGGCUGUCACUUAUGGAUGGACCCGCGUCGCAUUAGCUAGUUGGUGAGGUAACGGCUCACCAAGGCAACGAUGCGUAGCCGACCUGAGAGGGUGAUCGGCCACACUGGGACUGAGACACGGCCCAGACUCCUACGGGAGGCAGCAGUAGGGAAUCUUCCGCAAUGGACGAAAGUCUGACGGAGCAACGCCGCGUGAGUGAUGAAGGCUUUCGGGUCGUAAAACUCUGUUGUUAGGGAAGAACAAGUGCUAGUUGAAUAAGCUGGCACCUUGACGGUACCUAACCAGAAAGCCACGGCUAACUACGUGCCAGCAGCCGCGGUAAUACGUAGGUGGCAAGCGUUAUCCGGAAUUAUUGGGCGUAAAGCGCGCGCAGGUGGUUUCUUAAGUCUGAUGUGAAAGCCCACGGCUCAACCGUGGAGGGUCAUUGGAAACUGGGAGACUUGAGUGCAGAAGAGGAAAGUGGAAUUCCAUGUGUAGCGGUGAAAUGCGUAGAGAUAUGGAGGAACACCAGUGGCGAAGGCGACUUUCUGGUCUGUUACUGACACUGAGGCGCGAAAGCUUUGGGGAGCAAACAGGAUUAGAUACCCUGGUAGUCCACGCCGUAAACGAUGAGGGCUAAGUGUUAGAGGGUUUCCGCCCUUUAGUGCUGAAAGUU